UCAUAUGUUUGUUCUUGCUUAAAUGGGACUGUGGCAUAUAACAGUAGCUGUGAGCUGCCAAGCCUGAGCUGCAAGCCAAUGUGCCACCCCAAAGGGUUGUGUCAUCCAGCUGGAGUCACACACCAGUGCAUCUGUGAUGUUGGAUUUGAAGGGAACGGAUUAAGCUGUACUGACAUAGAUGAGUGCAAAGAGAACGUAUGUCAAGACAAACAGACAACAUGUAUCAACACUCCUGGAUCAUUUAGCUGUGUCUGUAAGCCAGGAUUUAGCCAGAAUGGGUCAUCGUGUAAAGAUAUUGACGAGUGCCUCACAGGAGUUGAAAAGUGCAGUCCGUUCGCACAGUGUUUUAAUUCCAUCGGAAGCUAUCGCUGUCAGUGCCUGAGUGGGUUCAGUGGGGAUGGGUUAAACUGCUCUGACAUUGAUGAAUGCCAAACACAAAAUGGAGGUUGUCACCCGUCUGCCACCUGCACUAACACUGCUGGGACGUACCGCUGCAGGUGUCCUCAAGGAAUGACG